UGCCAGCCGCCGCGGUAAUACGGAGGGGGUUAGCGUUGUUCGGAAUUACUGGGCGUAAAGCGCGCGUAGGCGGAUUGGAAAGUUGGGGGUGAAAUCCCGGGGCUCAACCCCGGAACUGCCUCCAAAACUGCCAGUCUAGAGUUCGAGAGAGGUGAGUGGAACUCCAAGUGUAGAGGUGAAAUUCGUAGAUAUUUGGAAGAACACCAAUUGCGAAGGCAGUUCACUGGACCGUGAUCGACGCUGAGGAGCGAAAGCUAGGGGAGCAAACAGGAUUAGAUA
rnacentral:rRNA from 1 species